rnacentral:rRNA from 1 species
GGACGAACGCUGGCGGCGUGCUUAACACAUGCAAGUCGAGCGGAGAAUAUAGCAAUAUAUUCUUAGCGGCGGACGGGUGAGUAACGCGUGGGUAACCUGCCUUUUUACUGGGGGAUAACACUGGGAAACUAGUGCUAAUACCACAUAAAAUAGUGAAGUGGCAUCACUUUACUAUCAAAGGAGCAAUCCGGUAAAAGAUGGACCCGCGUCCGAUUAGCUAGUUGGAGGGGUAACGGCCCACCAAGGCGGCGAUCGGUAGCCGAACUGAGAGGUUGAUCGGCCACAUUGGGACUGAGACACGGCCCAGACUCCUACGGGAGGCAGCAGUGGGGAAUAUUGCGCAAAAUGGGGGAAACCCUGACGCAGCAACGCCGCGUGAAGGAUGAAGGUUUUCGGAUUGUAAACUUCUUUGAUUGGGGACGAUAAUGACGGUACCCAAAAAACAAGCCACGGCUAACUACGUGCCAGCCGCAGC